rnacentral:snRNA from 1 species
AUACUUACCUGGCAGGGGAGAUACCAUGAUCACGAGGGUGGUUUUCCCAGGACGAGGCAUAUCCAUUGCACUCUGGAUGUGUGGAUCCCUGUGAUUUCCCCAAAUGUGGGAAACUUGACUGCAUAAUUUGCGGUAGUGGGGGACUGCAUUCGCGCUUUCCCCUA